rnacentral:rRNA from 1 species
GACGAACGCUGGCGGCGUGCUUAACACAUGCAAGUCGAACGGAAAGGCCCCUUCGGGGGUACUCGAGUGGCGAACGGGUGGGUAACACGUGGGUGACCUGCCCUGCACUACGGGAUAAGCCUGGGAAACUGGGUCUAAUACCGGAUAGGACCGCGUCGUGAGGAUGUGGUGGAAAGUUUUUUCGGUGCAGGAUGGGCCCGCGGCCUAUCAGCUUGUUGGUGGGGUAAUGGCCUACCAAGGCGGCGACGGGUAGCCGGCCUGAGAGGGUGGACGGCCACAUUGGGGCUGAGACACGGCCCAGACUCCUACGGGAGGCAGCAGUGGGGAAUAUUGCACAAUGGGCGCAAGCCUGAUGCAGCGACGCCGCGUGGGGGAUGAAGGCCUUCGGGUUGUAAACUCCUUUCAUCAUCGACGAAGGGCUCCCUUGUUGGGGGUUUGACGGUAGGUGGAGAAGAAGCACCGGCUAACUACGUGCCAGCCGCCGCGGUAA